rnacentral:rRNA from 1 species
CCUACGGGAGGCAGCAGUGAGGAAUAUUGCUCAAUGGGCGCGAGCCUGAUGCAGCCACGUAGCGUGAAGGAUGACUGCCCUAUGGGUUGUAAACUUCUUUUACAUGGGAAUAAAGUGUUAUACGUAUGCGAUUUUGCAUGUACCUUAUGAAUAAGGAUCGGCUAACUCCGUUCCAGCAGCCCCGGUAAUACGGAGGAUCCGAGCGUUAUCCGGAUUUAUUGGGUUUAAAGGGAGCGUAGGCGGUUUGUUAAGUUAGUUGUGAAAGUUUGGGGCUCAACCGUGAAAUUGCAUUUGAUACUGGCAGUCUUGAGUACAGUAGAGGUGGGCGGAAUUCGUGGUGUAGCGGUGAAAUGCGUAGAUAUCAGGAAGAACUCCGAUUGCGAAGGCAGCUCACUGGACUGUAACUGACGCUGAGGCUCGAAAGUGUGGGUAUCAAACAGGAUUAGAUACCCGAGUAGUC